rnacentral:rRNA from 1 species
UUUCCGGUUGAUCCUGCCGGACCCGACUGCUAUCAGAGUGAGAUUAAGCCAUGCGAGUCAACGUAGCAAUACGUGGCACACGGCUCAGUAACACGUAGUCAACAUAACCAAAGGACGUGGAUAAUCUCGGGAAACUGAGGCUAAACCGCGAUAGACCAAGAUACCUGGAAUGGUUUUUGAUCAAAAUCUAUAUGGCCUUUGGAUUGGACUGCGACCGAUCAGGCUGUUGGUGAGGUAAUGGCCCACCAAACCUAUAACCGGUACGGGCUCUGAGAGGAGGAGCCCGGAGAUGGGUACUGAGACAAGGGCCCAGGCCCUAUGGGGCGCAGCAGGCGCGAAAACUCUGCAAUAGGCGAAAGCUUGACAGGGUUACUCUGAGUGAUGCCCGCUAAGGGCAUCUUUUGGUACCUCUAAAAAUGGUGCAGAAUAAGGGGUGGGCAAGUCUGGUGUCAGCCGCCGCGGUAAUACCAGCACCCCGAGUGGUCGGGACGAUUAUUGGGCCUAAAGCAUCCGUAGCUUGUCCUGCAAGUCCUCCGUUAAAUCCACCUGCUCAACAGAUGGGCUGCGGAGGAUACUACAGGGCUAGGAGGCGGGAGAGGCAAGCGGUACUCAGUGGGUAGGGGUAAAAUCCUCUGAUCCACUGAAGACCACCAGUGGCGAAGGCGGCUUGCCAGAACGCGCUCGACGGUGAGGGAUGAAAGCUGGGGGAGCAAACCGGAUUAGAUACCCGGGUAGUCCCAGCUGUAAACGAUGCAGACUCGGUGAUGGGUUGGCUUCGCGCCAACCCAGUGCCGCAGGGAAGCCGUUAAGUCUGCCGCCUGGGGAGUACGGUCGCAAGACUGAAACUUAAAGGAAUUGGCGGGGGAGCACCACAAGGGGUGAAGCCUGCGGUUCAAUUGGAGUCAACGCCGGG